ACCAGCUUCUUGGACGGGAUCUCCAGCCGCCCAUCGCUCGCCAACCUGGCUCACCUUCCCCGGAGCCAGGCGGACGCAGGGAUAGGCGCGGAUGGGGAUCCGGCCCAAGAAGCAUUUAAGA
rfam:Arthrobacter cupressi strain SW1 SW1_scaffold_20, whole genome shotgun sequence.